GCAUAUCAAUAAGCGGAGGAAAAGAAACCAACAGGGAUUACCUCAGUAACGGCGAGUGAAGCGGUAAAAGCUCAAAUUUGAAAUCUGGCUCUUUCAGAGUCCGAGUUGUAAUUUGUAGAAGAUGCUUCGGGUGUGGUUCCGGUCUAAGUUCCUUGGAACAGGACGUCAUAGAGGGUGAGAAUCCCGUAUGUGACUGGAUACCUAUGCUCAUGUGAAGCUCUUUCGACGAGUCGAGUUGUUUGGGAAUGCAGCUCAAAAUGGGUGGUAUAUUUCAUCUAAAGCUAAAUAUUGGCCAGAGACCGAUAGCGCACAAGUAGAGUGAUCGAAAGAUGAAAAGCACUUUGGAAAGAGAGUUAAACAGUACGUGAAAUUGUUGAAAGGGAAGCGCUUGCAAUCAGACUUGCACUUGGUGUUCAUCGGGGUUUCUACCCCGUGUACUUCAUCAAGUUCAGGCCAGCAUCAGUUUGGGUGGUUAGAUAAAGGCUUAGAGAAUGUGGCCCUCUUCGGGGGGUGUUAUAGCUCUAGGUGCAAUGUAGCCUACCUGGACUGAGGACCGCGCUUCGGCUAGGAUGCUGGCGUAAUGGUUGUAAGCGACCCGUCUUGAAACACGGACCAAGGAGUGUACCUAAUAUGCGAGUGUUUGGGUGUUAAACCCAUACGCGUAAUGAAAGUGAACGGAGGUGAGAGCCCUUAAGGGUGCAUCAUCGACCGAUCCUGAUGUCUUCGGAUGGAUUUGAGUAAGAGCAUAUUGGGUGCGACCCGAAAGAUGGUGAUCUAUACGUGAAUAGGGUGAAGCCAGAGGAAACUCUGGUGGAGGCUCGCAGCGGUUCUGACGUGCAAAUCGAUCGUCAAAUUUGCGUAUAGGGGCGAAAGACUAAUCGAACCAUCUAGUAGCUGGUUCCUGCG
rnacentral:rRNA from 1 species